rnacentral:ncRNA from 1 species
UCAAAGUUUGAUUUUGGCUUAUUUUUUAUUAUAAUAAUAUUUUACAUGUAAAUCUUUGUGUGGACUAGCUUAUUUUUAAAUAAUUAGGCUUAACAUUUAUUCGCAGUAUUUGAUAUUAAAUGUUAUAGAAGAAAUUCUGAUUUGGUAAUUAUUUUUAGUAUAGGACAAAUUUGUGCCAGCAUCUGCGGUUAUACAAAUUAUGCAAAUAAAACUUUUUGGUUAAUAGUUAAUUUUUAACAAAAAAUUAUUUAUUAAUUUUUUAGGUGAAAUUUUAAUAUUUAUUUAUAUUUUUAUAAAUUAUUUGAAGCUAUGAAACUUUUUUAUUAAACUAGGAUUAGAUACCCUAUUAUAAAAAGUGUCAAUAUAAGAACCUGGGUAGUAAUAGAUAAGGUCUUGAAACCUAAAAAAUUUGGCGGUGCUUUAGUCUAUUUAGAGGAACCUGUUCCGUGAUCGAUAGACCACGAUGAAUUUUACUAAAUCUUAUUUAGUUUAUAUACCGUCGUUACCAGAAUAUUUUAUAAGAAUAUAAUUUUCUUAAAUUUUAAUUAAAAUUUAUUUCAGAUCAAGGUGUAACUUAUGAUUUAGAGGAAAUGGGUUACAAUAGACAAUUAUCUAAUACGGAUUUUGGGUUGAAAUACUCAUUUGAAGGUGGAUUUAAUAGUAAAUUUAUUUAUAUAAAUACUUUGAUUAUAGCUCUAAAGCAUGCACACAUCGCCCGUCGCUCUUUUUAAUUAAAGAUAAGUCGUAACAUAGUAGGUGUACCGGAAGGUGUAUCUAGAAUG